rnacentral:rRNA from 1 species
UACAUGGGGUGCAAACGUUGCUCGGAAUUAUUGGGCGUAAAGCGCACGUAGGCGGUUCGUUAAGUCGGAUGUGAAAGCCCUCGGCUCAACUGAGGAAGUGCACCCGAAACUGGCGAGCUUGAGUACGAAAGAGGAUCGCGGAAUUCCCGGUGUAGCGGUGAAAUGCGUAGAGAUCGGGAGGAAGGCCGGUGGCGAAGGCGGCGCUCUGGAACAUUUCUGACGCUGAGGCUCGAAAGCGUGGGGAGCAAACAGG